ACUUCCUGGGCAUCUCUCUAGCAGGGAGAGUGUAGCAGCUGCCUUUUUUUUUUUUGCAACGCGGGCUCCUUCGCUAAUCAGUGGAAGGUUGGGGGAAGGGGAUGUUAUCUCAGUGACAAAUCCAGCCCUGCAAGUCUGGAAGGCGUUUGUGCCUGGGGAGUUUAAAAGUGAACUGCAAAGAAAAAAAUUAUGACCCUGCCAUCACUCCUGUGUUACCAUCCACGAAUGCAGAGGUGGAUCCAGCGCUUGCGGAUGAGAAUGCUAGUCCAGGUGUUUCCAAACUUCCCGGGGCAGAUGUCGGGAAUAUAAAGAGCACCGCAGUGCGAGGACAAGCAACAUGUCCAUCACCACAUAAUCUAAGUCCUGAAGUGGAGUGUUUAUUUUCACACAGAAAAGUCACAGUUAAGUGGAGUUUCGCUAUAACAGGAGAGAGCCUACCUGGUUAUUGCUCCCGCCUUCUCAGCCCAGGAACAAUGGCAAGGGCUUUCUUCACCCCUUGCAUUUUAGGGGGUCAUUUGUGUGUUGUUGCUACCAGUGGGAAGCAGCUGUGGCAAGAGUAAUCCAGUUCCUUUUAAUCCACCCUAAAAACAGAUGCACCAAGAGUGGGAGUCAGUGGAUGCCAUUUUAGCCUUUUGCCAUGGGAUAUUGUCCACUUCUCUUAACCCUCCUCUAUCACCUAGGCCUGAUCCAAAUCCUAUUUAACUCCCACAGAGUAUGUCUACAUAGCACACUAAGUCCAGGCUCUGAUUCAGAUUUGAGCCUAAGCCCCCGUUCCAUCCACACACAAAAUCAGUCUGACUUGGGUCAGCAAGCGCACAGUACCCGGGUUCUAGGAUCCUGCUAUUGUGGUGGGUCAGAGCUUGAAUCUUUCUUUGACUGAAGUCCAAGCCCUGUCAUUUUGCUGUGUGGAUACAGCUCAAUCCACAAACCUGAGUCACACGGUCUGCCUACUUCAGUAUCGAUGGGUUACCAUGGCUAUGAGACUUGUAUUCAGCAACUGUAAACCCAGGUUUACAAUGGAGUGUGGAUGCUCAGGUCAGUGGUGCUGGAACAAUUUGUACA